rnacentral:rRNA from 1 species
CCUACGGGAGGCAGCAGUGGGGAAUAUUGCACAAUGGGCGAAAGCCUGACGCAGCGACGCCUCGUGAGGGAUGAAGGUCUUCGGAUCGUAAACCUCUGUCGGAAGGGAAGAACGGGUAGGGGUCUAAUAGGCCUUUAUUUUGACGGUACCUUUAGAGGAAGCACCUAACUCCGUGCCAGCAGCCGCGGUAAU